rnacentral:rRNA from 1 species
GACGAACGCUGGCGGCGCGCCUAACACAUGCAAGUCGAACGAGCGAGAGAGAGCUUGCUUUCUCGAGCGAGUGGCGAACGGGUGAGUAACGCGUGAGGAACCUGCCUCAAAGAGGGGGACAACAGUUGGAAACGACUGCUAAUACCGCAUAAGCCCACGGCUCGGCAUUGAGCAGGGGGAAAAGGAGCAAUCCGCUUUGAGAUGGCCUCGCGUCCGAUUAGCUAGUUGGUGAGGUAACGGGCCACCCAGGACACGAACGGUAGCCGGACUGAGAGGUUGAACGGCCACAUUGGGACUGAGACACGGCCCAGACUCCUACGGGAGGCAGCAGUGGGGAAUAUUGCAAAAUGGGGGAAACCAUGAUGCAGCGACGCCGCGUGGAGGAAGAAGGUCUGCGGAUUGUAAACUCCUGUUGUUGGGGAAGAUAAUGACGGUACCCAACAAGGAAGUGACGGCUAACUACGUG